rnacentral:lncRNA from 1 species
GAGCCGACAGGGGCAGGCGUGGGAGCACCGUGGCACGGAGGCUGGGCACGGAGCGCAUCACGAGAGGUAGGGCGUGCAGCCAGGGAGGUGACGGGCUGGGUGCCGGGAGCCCGGCCUGGGGUCAGAGGAAGCCUGGCAUCUGGAGGCUCAGGGCCGAGUGCCCACUUCCCACUCUUGGCAGGGUCUUCCAGGGUCACGUGUGGCCAAGCUGUAGGGUGGGUGAAGCCCCACAGGAAGGUCACAGACACCCUUCGACGGGAGCCUGAGCACCUGGGGUGCCCGAUUCCCAUCAGGACAGGACACCUCACCAUUCGGGUGUCCGGGUGGCUGGUGGGAGUCUGCCUGGCCUGCCUGGACAGCUCUAGGGACGGCAAUGUGGUGGGUAGGCCUGACCUGCGGUGCCCCCACCUGCCAGCAUCAGAGCCCGGACCCCAGGAGCUGCAUGGGUCCUGGGUCUGGGGUGAAGAGUACGGCAGGAGCCUCAGGCAGCAGGACAGUGGGCAGUGGCUGUUAAGAGGGGCCGGGGUCUUGUCCAGAGUCUGGGGCCGGGGUCUUACACCUCUGGCACUGCUGCCUCGCAGGCAGUGGGCAGCAGCCAGGCAGCCACCCCGGGAAUGGCAAGCAGCUCCAGAUGGGGGCUGGGGCAGGAGCAGGAGCCCCAUCCACGGGGUCAGAGGAAGCCUGGCAUCUGGAGGCUCAGGGCCGAGUGCCCACUUCCCACUCUUGGCAGGGUCUUCCAGGGUCACGUGUGGCCAAGCUGUAGGGUGGGUGAAGCCCCACAGGAAGGUCACAGACACCCUUCGACGGGAGCCUGAGCACCUGGGGUGCCCGAUUCCCAUCAGGACAGGACACCUCACCAUUCGGGUGUCCGGGUGGCUGGUGGGAGUCUGCCUGGCCUGCCUGGACAGCUCUAGGGACGGCAAUGUGGUGGGUAGGCCUGACCUGCGGUGCCCCCACCUGCCAGCAUCAGAGCCCGGACCCCAGGAGCUGCAUGGGUCCUGGGUCUGGGGUGAAGAGUACGGCAGGAGCCUCAGGCAGCAGGACAGUGGGCAGUGGCUGUUAAGAGGGGCCGGGGUCUUGUCCAGAGUCUGGGGCCGGGGUCUUACACCUCUGGCACUGCUGCCUCGCAGGCAGUGGGCAGCAGCCAGGCAGCCACCCCGGGAAUGGCAAGCAGCUCCAGAUGGGGGCUGGGGCAGGAGCAGGAGCCCCAUCCACGGGGACAGAGGCCCUCCCACAGCGCUCUCCUGGAGGGGCGAGGACCAGGAGCAGCCCCAGGAGGCACCAGGACUGUCGUCCCCGGGAGGUGGGCCUCCCCUGGGCUCUGGGGAGGAUGGACGGGCAGAGGCAGGGCCAUGGGGAUCCCAGCUCUGA